rnacentral:rRNA from 1 species
CCUACGGGAGGCAGCAGUGAGGAAUAUUGGUCAAUGGACGAGAGUCUGAACCAGCCAAGUAGCGUGAAGGAUGACUGCCCUAUGGGUUGUAAACUUCUUUUAUAAAGGAAUAAAACGAGGCACGUGUGCCUUUUUGCAUGUACUUUAUGAAUAAGGAUCGGCUAACUCUGUGCCAGCAGCCGCGGUAAUACGGAGGAUCCGAGCGUUAUCCGGAUUUAUUGGGUUUAAAGGGAGCGUAGAUGGGUUGUUAAGUCAGUUGUGAAAGUUUGCGGCUCAACCGUAAAAUUGCAAUUGAUACUGGCAGUCGUGAGUACAGUUGAGGUAGGCGGAAUUAGUGGUGUAGCGGUGAAAUGCUUAGAUAUCACGAAGAACCCCGAUUGCGAAGGCAGCUUACUAAACUGUGACUGACAUUGAUGCUCGAAAGUGUGGGUAUCAAACAGGAUUAGAUACCCUAGUAGUC